rnacentral:rRNA from 1 species
CUACGGGUUGCUCCAGUGAGGAAUAUUGCACAAUGGGGGGAACCCUGAUGCAGCAACGCCGCGUGGAGGAUGACGCAUUUCGGUGUGUAAACUCCUUUUAUAUGUCAAGAAAAUGACGGUAGCAUAUGAAUAAGCACCGGCUAACUCCGUGCCAGCAGCCGCGGUACUACGGAGGGUGCAAGCGUUACUCGGAAUCACUGGGCGUAAAGGACGCGUAGGCGGGUUGGAAAGUCAGGUGUGAAAUCCUACAGCUUAACUGUAGAACUGCACUUGAAACUUCUAAUCUAGAGUAUGGGAGGGGGAGAUGGAAUUAGUGGUGUAGGGGUAAAAUCCGUAGAUAUCACUAGGAAUACCUAAAGCGAAGGCGAUCUCCUGGAACAUUACUGACGCUAAGGCGUGAAAGCGUGGGGAGCAAACAGGAUUAGAUACCCUGGUAGUC